GAUGAACGCUGGCGGCGUGCCUAACACAUGCAAGUCGAACGUUAGGGUCUAGCAAUAGACCCAAAAGUGGCGAACGGGUGAGUAACACGUAGGUAACCUGCCGCGCAGAGGGGGAUAACGACUGGAAACGGUCGCUAACACCGCAUGGUACCAUUUUGGGGGGACCCUGAAUGGUUAAAACUUUGGUGCUGCGCGAGGGGCCUGCGUCCGAUUAGCUAGUUGGUGAGGUAACGGCUCACCAAGGCUGUGAUCGGUAGCUGGUCUGAGAGGAUGAUCAGUCACACGGGAACUGAGACACGGUCCCGACUCCUACGGGGGGCAGCAGUGAGGAAUAUUGCACAAUGGACGCAAGUCUGAUGCAGCAACGCCGCGUGGAGGAUGAAGGCCCUUGGGUUGUAAACUCCUUUUUUCAGGGAAGAGUAUGGACGGUACCUGAAGAAUAAGUCACGGCUAACUACGUGCCAGCAGCCGCCGUAACAC
rnacentral:rRNA from 1 species